GACGAACGCUGGCGGCGUGCUUAACACAUGCAAGUCGAACGGAAAGGCCCUGCUUUUGUGGGGUGUUCGAGUGGCGAACGGGUGAUUAACACGUGAGUAACCUGCCCUUGACUUUGGGAUAACUUCAGGAAACUGGGGCUAAUACCGGAUAGGAGCUCCUGCUGCAUGGUGGGGGUUGGAAAGUUUCGGCGGUUGGGGAUGGACUCGCGGCUUAUCAGCUUGUUGGUGGGGUAGUGGCUUACCAAGGCUUUGACGGGUAGCCGGCCUGAGAGGGUGACCGGCCACAUUGGGACUGAGAUACGGCCCAGACUCCUACGGGAGGCAGCAGUGGGGAAUAUUGCACAAUGGGCGGAAGCCUGAUGCAGCAACGCCGCGUGCGGGAUGACGGCCUUCGGGUUGUAAACCGCUUUCGCCUGUGACGAAGCGUGAGUGACGGUAAUGGGUAAAGAAGCACCGGCUAACUACGUG
rnacentral:rRNA from 1 species